CCGGCGACCGGCGCACGGGUGAGUAACACGUAUGGAACCUGCCCGCAGCAGGGGGAUAAGCGGAAGAAAUUCCGUCUAAUACCGCGUAACAACGUUGGGAGGCAUCUCCCGAUGUUUAAAGAUUUAUCGGCUGCGGAUGGCCAUGCGGCGCAUUAGCUAGUCGGCGGGGUAACGGCCCACCGAGGCGACGAUGCGUAGGGGUUCUGAGAGGAAGGUCCCCCACACUGGUACUGAGACACGGCCCAGACUCCUACGGAAGGCAGCAG
rnacentral:rRNA from 1 species